rnacentral:lncRNA from 10 species
CAGAAUUCAAAAAUAUAUUCUUCCAAGAAAAACAAAGCCCUGUCUAUACUCGAUGCAGAACAAGAACCUGAGACCUGCCGAACAGCAGGUGCCAAAGAUGCUGCUGUAACACCACAGCCCUCCCAUCUUCCAUCCUCCACUGGCGCUGAGUGGCAGUCCCAUGUGACAGGAAGUGGAGGCAGAGCUGGGCCAGCCCAGGAGCCACGUGCUGGAGCCAGAUACUCUGUUUUUCUACAAAUGGAAAGUUUGUGGCAUCCUUGACUCAAGCAAAUUUUUCAGCACCAUUUUUCAAGAGCGUGUGCUCACUUCACCUCUCUGUAUCGUGUUUUGAUGCUUGUCCUGGAAACCAACCAUGAGCUGUGAUGAAAUCCAGGCAACUGAGUUGUGUUUCAGCCCAAAGCAGCAAAUGGAAUCCAGCUUCAGGACCAUCAUCUGACAUAGGGGAAGAAGACUUACAUAGAAGGCCUAACCAGCACCCAAGAUCAUGCUCAUAGGUGGAGGAGACUUGCUUUGUCUCAGAUGAGACUUUGGACUGUGGACUUUUGAGUUAAUGCUGAAAUGAGUUGAGACUUUGGGGAACUGUUGGGAAGGCAUGAUUGGUUUUAAAUAUGAAUAUAUGAGAUUUGGGAGGGGGUCAGGGGUGGAAUGAUAUGGUUUGGCUCUGUGUCCCCACCCAAAUCUCAUCUUGUAGCUCCCAUAAUCCUCCCAUGUUGUGGGAGGGACCCAGUGGGAGAUGAUUGAAUCAUGAGGGCGGGUCUUUCUCAUGCUGUUCAUGAUCCCAUUCAUGUGAGAAAGACCCAUGUGAUCAUGAAUGGGUCUCACAAGAUCUGAUGGUGUUAAAAAUGGGAGUUUCUCUGCACAAGCUCUCUGCCUGCUGCCAUUCACAAAGGAUGUGACUUGCUUCUCCUUGCCUUCUGCUAUGAUUGUGAGGCCUCCCUAGCCAUGUGGAACUGUGAGUCCAAUUAAACCUCUUUCUUUUGUAAAUU